GGUCAGGGACUCCCACAGGGUGCAGGGGGUCCAGAUGCUGCAUCCUUGCUCAUACUGAGGGAAAUCCCUCCCACUCCCCUCACCAAAUCCAUAGACUGGAACAAAUCCCGUUGUCAGCACCCAGAACCACCACCCUGGGGAUGAGCACCCAGUGUGGCCCCACUCAAAGCUCAAACCAAGAGCCACAACCCUUUUGGCCACCGAAAAGCAGGGGCAGACACAACAGGGAGUUGUGAAGGGAGGGCAGGGACAGUAACCCCUGCCCUGCUGGGAGCCCUUCCUCCCCAUCUUCUCCUCCACCCUGAUGUGCUCAGGACCUGCUCCCUUCCCAAAGCCAAAGCCUUACACCCAAACCACGUGGUCAAAUCCACCUUCCCGGGGCUUCUUCCCUGAACCAGCUCCCUUCUCCCCAUGCCAACCUCAGCUCUUCAUGCCUGAGCCCUGCCAAGGAGCACGGCUUGAGCAGCCAUGAUCUGCAUCACUGCUGGGAAGGGCUGAAGCCCUGAAAUGCUUCCCAAAUCCUGCAGCAGCAGCACAGCCCCCCCAGUCAUCUGCUCCAGGAACAGUCACACAGGCAGUGAUGGGGCCAAGUGCAUCCCACAGCCAAAAAGCUCCAGUUCUCUUCCACUGCUUGUUUCUCUACACCUGCACUUUGCUGGGGUUUUGUAAGGUGUGAACAGCAAAAGCUGGAAGGGCUGGGGGUGCAGCUGGGAAAGGCUCAAAGGGACAGACUCUCCCAGCAAACCAGUGGGUAACAGCAGGAAGAGCCAGGAGCUUUCAGGAACAAACUUUGCUCCAGUCUAGAAGGUCUUUCUGUUUUCAAGCUAAACCCAUCACCUGCUCUGGGGAAGAGAGAAGAUUGCAAAGGGGAAAAGGCAAUAACGGCAGCAGUUCCUACAGAAAACAGAGAAUCAGCCUGUGGACCAAGGGAAAGGGGAGCACUGGGAAAACCCACAUCUCCCAUGCCCAUAUUGUCAAGUCCAACAGGGUGGAAAACAGAGUUACACAUCAGAAGAGUUGUGGGGAGCACCCAAGCCUUGGCAAAGGUCUCAGCAGCUGUGACAAACUGUGGACAAGGCUCAGGAAGAGGCACUCAGCUGAGCAAGGAGCAUUUUGGGUUCCCCCUUCUUCCCCCAUCCUUCCCCAGCCCCCCUCUGUCCUGGGGGACAGCACCAGCAAAGGCAGCACUCGGCUCCUCUGUGCUACUUUUUCCUUCUCUCACUCCUGAGCUUUAAGAAAUGAGCCCAAGGCAACUCUGAAAAUUCACUUAUCUCAACCUGUAAUUGAGAAACCCAUUUAAUAGUUACUUAAACCCCGAGCAGCUCCGAGCAUGCAGCAGCUGAUGAAUAUGCAUGGCCUGGGAUUUGCAUUUCAUGGCAGUGUGAAGACAGGAUGUCAGGCAAAUGAGCUAUGAGAAAUGUUGCCCAUGCAAAUGUUCACUCUGCUCCAACUUCUCACUGUAAUUCUCAUCCUUGAAGCCAUUUUUGUCAUUCUCUUAUUUGCAUUGGAAAUGUAGCAAAAAAAAAUAAUGUAACUUCACAGAAAUUGGUCCUUCUUCUCUGCAGACAGGAUGGAUUCUUUACUACACCUGUGACAGAGUGGAGACCUGAACUACUGACAAGCAAUAAUAAAUACAGAAGUCCUGCUGACAGUGCUAGGCCAUGCAGUUCUGGAGUUCUCCACCACCACAUCUCCUUCAUUUAACUUCCCAGCCCUCACCUGAACAAGGCUUGUUAUUAGAGAAACCACCACAGCCCUUCAGGAACAGAAAAGGGGCUGUUUUCACCCCCAGCUUCAUUUUCUGUUUUCUGCUUUCAGAAGGGGGACCAUGAGCAUGGCACAGCUGCUGUUCCCUUAAAGAGAGAGCAGGAAACCUGCUCAUCCAGGCUCUGAAAACUUCAGUAAAUGGACUAAACACAGGAAACCUGCUCAUCCAGGCUCUGAGAACUUCAGUAAAUGGACUAAACACAGCCCCCCACCUGCACUGCUGCAUCCAGCCCUGGGACCCCCAAGAAAAGGACAUGGACCUGCUGGAGCAAAUCCAGAGGAGGCCGUAAAGGAGCUCAGAGGGCUGGAGCACCUCUCCUAUGGACAGAGGAGUUGUUCAAGGGGGAGAAGGUUCCAAGAAGACCUUAGAGCCCCCUCAGUAACUACAAGUGCUACAAGAGUUUGAGAAGGACUUUCAACAAGGGCAUGAAGUGACAGGACAAGGGGAAAUGACUUCAAACUGAGAGAAAGGGGAGGUUUAGAUUAGAUAUGGGGAAGAAAUCCUUCCCUGUACUCUCUUUUACAAGCUGCCUUCCUUCCAAACUGAAGAGCAUCUUCAGGAAAGCCACGGGUCACAGCAGGGCUGUUUUUUAUGAGUUGUUCUCUGAUCUGGUCACAGAUUGUGAAAGUACAAUAAGGUUACUCGCUGUCUUUUGGCAUGUAAAUGCUCUCAGAGCAGACAGCAGCUCUCCAGUUAUUAAGCAAUGCUCUACCUGAUUUCAGCACAUAAGCACCACUGUCACUCAUCCAGUAUUAACUAUUUGAAGUCAGAGCACCUACAAUUUUAGCAGCUUCAGGGAAGCACUAAAUACUGGUAUUGUGCCCACAGUGCUUUAUCACAUUCCCCCAUUCCUGAAUUCCAACGUGCAGCCCCCCCUGGUUCUCCCUGGCCCAGAGCAGCCCAGUGAACGAGGUUUGAUGGCUGCUGUGACAACGUGGCCACAAACAACACUGCCCUGUGAGCACACACAGCCAGGACAACCCCACGAGGUGCAGCUUUCAGAGCAAGCAGGGCACAUCAGUUCUGAGAAACAAGAAUUGCAGGGCAGCACCAUCCACGUUUUCCCCUCUUAUUGAAGGUUCCCUCCUGGAGAGCUGCUGAACACGAGGGAGGGGGUUGGUUAGUCCAGUGACCACUGGAUGUCACUGCUGCUUUAUCCACGGCCAUCAGGGCAGCCUGGCACGGGCACAGUCACCCCAUCGACACCAACACCUCAGCCUGGACUGCCAGCCAGCCAGAAAUAAACUUACAGCACCGUGUUUUCACUACACAGAAGUUUAUUAUGAAAGUUAAACAUACAACACAAAAAGUAGCAAAAGCAAUCCUGUAGCUUAAGGCAACUCUUACAGGAGAUGAAUUCGAGAAAGAUGAUGCAACUUUAAGUUUAAAUAGAAAUUAUGAAAAAUAUCAAAUUGCAUCAAUAACUUAAAAUGCACUUUAAAAAGUCUGCACUAACCAGCAGAGGGUAAGGGCUGUGAUCUUAAUGCCAGCAUUAAGAUAUGGGAAGCAGCAGAAUGCUAAAUGAUGAUAGGGAAAGUUCAGUAUUUACACAGAGAUAGCAACGUUAAUAUCUGAUAGCGUCAUUUCCUGUGUACUUAUGGUUUAAAACCACCGUCUGAAACGUUAGGAAAACCUUUUAAAAUAAAUCUUCAGACUAUUCCAUCAAAAAUACACAGAUGGCAGAGAAGAUCCAAGGCUGGGCUGCGGGCGUGUGUCCCUUAAAUAACUCUUUGCAGAAACACUUUAGAAAAAUUACUUCUUUGGGGGAAGAAGAGCAAGAAGAGUACGUGGCCACAGAGUGAAAAAGAUUAUCUUCCAGGUGAAUCACAUUUAAAUUGAAGUAUCAAAAUAUUUCUAUUUGAUGAGAUUCUCACAGUUUACAGUUAAUGACAUUUUUAAGUGAAUGUUAAAUAUUCAUAUUAUUAACAUACAAAGAUUCUCCUUCACAUUGACAUCUGCUUACGUUUUUGCAAGACCUCUUUUGCAUCAGUUGUUUUGCCAUUAACGAGGAAUGUGCAACUGUCUUAAUUAUAGAAUUUAAUAAAGAUUUAACUGUUCUAACCAUA